UACGGGGGGGGCAAGCGUUGUUCGGAAUUACUGGGCGGAAAGGGUUCGUAGGUGGCUUGCUAAGUCAGACGUGAAAUCCCUCAGCUUAACUGGGGAACUGCGUCUGAUACUGGCGAGCUUGAGUGCAGGAGAGGAACGCGGAAUUCCAGGUGUAGCGGUGAAAUGCGUAGAUAUCUGGAGGAACACCGGUGGCGAAGGCGGCGUUCUGGACUGCAACUGACACUGAUGAACGAAAGCCAGGGGAGCAAACGGG
rnacentral:rRNA from 1 species